CUUGAGCCUGACGGACAUUCUGCAUCUCAGUAAGCUAGUAAGAGUGCACAACAGACAACUUCCGUGUAUGCUACUUCAAAAUAAAAGCACUUCCUGUGACGUUCGCAGUAAAACUAAAUUACUGUUAAACAAAGUUGUAUACCUUUUCACAAAUCAGUAAAUCAAGUACUGUAAAUAAUGUAGAUAUUGAGUUUUAAUCACAUUAUAAUUGACCAUUUCCUUUAGACAACCUUAGUUUUAAACUAAACAACAUGAAAUUCGUAUUCAAGUGCUUCACAAACAUUUUGCAACUAUGCCGCAUACUUCAAUAACUGUAAGGUCCUUUUAAUUGAGUAUUUUCAUUCUCCUACUUGCCUGUUGUACGUUUUAUUCAUCUAUUUUUAUAGCUGUGGUUACUUUCAUAUUCAUAUUAAUUAUACAAAAUAUUAUGAAUAAUCCAUGAUGUAUUA